ACUAUACAUAUAAAAUUAAAGUAGUAUUUUUCAAAAAAACUCAUAAAACUUGGCAGUUAUUAUUAUUCUAGAGGAGUUUGUUUUAUAAUCGACAACACCCGAUAUAUUUAACUUUAUAUAAAAAUUUAUAUACCGCCGUUAUUAAUCUAUAGAAAUAAAAUAAAGCAUAUUUCAAAUACAAAAUCAUAUUUAAAAAUCAGGUCAAGGUGUAAUAUAUUAUAAAGGAAAAAUUAACUACACAUAAAAAAUAACUUAAAGAUACUUACGUUAAAAUAAUUGAGUUGAAUUAGAAUCUAGAAAUAAAACUUAAAUUAAUAUUUUUUUUUGAAAUUUAUAAUAAUAAUGC
rnacentral:rRNA from 1 species